rnacentral:piRNA from 1 species
UAGAACUGAAUAAGCAGCUCUCACACCAUAGC